CCCCACCGCCCGGGUCCGAUUGGCCUUCUCUGCAUUAUUCAGAGCCACAACACCAAGGCUCCCGAGUCCCAAGGAGCGGGAGUGUACAGCCUUGUAGUCAUCAGUGAUUUCAGUAUUUUUUCCUAAAGGUCCUUACCCGGACCAAAACAACACAGAGAGAUGGCAGCAGAGUCUGCUGGUGCAUGAGUGCAGUCACAGUGCAUUGCAGUGGCAACAUUUAUACAAACCAUUAUUCAUGCAUUGUGGAGACCCCGCUCCCCGCAAUACGCCAAGACACUUUAACAUCAAAGGCGGCACACAUGGUCGCCUGGCUCCCGUAGGAGCGUGUUCUUUUGAUUCUCUUCCCCCUCUCCCUCCACUGUCUGCUGAGUGGUUUCCCCCAGUUCCCUCCUCGCCCCAGCCCCCUGUUCUACUGCUCCCUGGGUCACCUAGCGCUUAAAAUAACUGCGUCAAGGACCCGCUACGUCUUCUCCUCAGCUCCUCCAGUGAAUUACACAGCCGUUCCACGUUAUUAAACAUGACACUCAACCAAGAUAAUGAAGCCUUUCUUCAUCUCAUUUGGAAUCCUAAUCUAAUUUCUUUGAUUAAUGGGCACAGAUCUGCAUAUCAAGGGCUCUUGUUAAUUUCUCCGGCAAAUCCCUUUUUAUGAUGCGCUCGCAAAAUGAAAAAAGUAUAUAUCUGUCUUAAGAAUCUCUACCCCUUCUUUUCCACAUGAGAGGCUUAAUGGGGAAAGGGAAUGUGGCCGGGUAACAAGCUGAUUAGAUGAUGGAUCCAACCACCAUCCCCUCCACCCACUCAAGACAAGACAGGAGAAGAGAGAACCUACCAUGUGUUUUGUUCAAGUUCAAGUUUAUUUGUCUUAUGUACAGGAUACACAUGGUAUGCACCGUCGAAA